UAACCUCUGACUGCAGACUCUUUCCAGGUCUUGCACCACUCGUAAAGCGCUUUCACUUGCCUUUUGGACCAUGUUCUUGGUCUUAACAUUUUCUCCACCCAACCCGUUGAAAGUGUCUGAUCACUAUUUUUCUUCAGCAAAGUGUUCGACUAAAAUCCUCAACGAGAAACGGUGUGACGGCGUGCAGAGAUUUUGCAAUGCAAAUACUAAGUACCAAGGCAUCCAUUUUAGCCUCUCAAAUGGGCACACACGCUCCUUACUGCGAACCCAGAAAGGAAUUGAAGCUAACUCUACAGACUACAAAUGUGCCACUAUAAAGGUAAAGGAGUCCACAAGCAAUCCCAUUGAUAAUGUGGUAGCGCUGAGGCCAAUCUAGAAGUUGAGAAAUCCUAACCGAAAAUAAAGAAGUCCAAGCUUUUGUUAGGCAAAAACUCGUAGAUCAACAUCUUUUCCUCUCCUUCAAUGCAAC